rnacentral:rRNA from 1 species
UUGGCGAACGGGUGAGUAACGCGUGAGUAACCUGCCCUGGAGUGGGGGACAACAGUUGGAAACGACUGCUAAUACCGCAUAAGCCCACGGAUCCGCAUGGAUCUGCGGGAAAAGGAUUUAUUCGCUUCAGGAUGGACUCGCGUCCAAUUAGCUAGUUGGUGAGGUAACGGCCCACCAAGGCGACGAUUGGUAGCCGGACUGAGAGGUUGAACGGCCACAUUGGGACUGAGACACGGCCCAGACUCCUACGGGAGGCAGCAUG